AAUUAUUAUUAUUGUAAUAUAAAUCCAUCGUACAUUCCAUGUAUGAUAUUGCAAAGAUUUAUUUAUGUAUUUUUUCUGGUAAAAAAAUUUGGAAGUAUUUAGAAAGAAUAAGUUAUAAAAUCAAGGGACCCAAUCUAAGAUUAAUCCACCCCAUCGAGUAGCUUUCUAGGUUUUGAAACUUUGGUCUUCUCCUUCCUUGUUCAACCAGUUAAACAGUUGCCUUUUCCUCGGGUGGCUAGGUCCUUGGUAAAAUUCUGACCCGAACCCAAACCCAAACCCGAACAGCUUAAUAGAUUUAACAUUUUAAAAUGAUUCUUUCUAUCAGAAUAUAAUAACUGGGGCCAAAUAAAAAUGGAAGCCUUAAUUGAUUCUAGGUCAGAUGAGGAAUAUUUUGGCUGUCACUGAAAUACAGAAUCAGGGUUUGAUUUGUAUCCCAUGGAAAUCCCAAAAUUAGAUAUGAAAAAAAAAAAUCUAAGUGGAGAAAACUAUCCAAAAAAAAAAAAAAAAAAACCAAAGAAGUAUACAAAGAAGACACUAUGAAUAAAUUUGCAUGCCAUUAAAGUCUCAAAAUCCCAAUAACUCUUAUACGAAAAUCUUUCCCUAUAAAGAAAAAUAUUUAAAAAUAGAAUUCUUUCUAAAAUAGAAAAUAUACACAGAGAGCUAGCGUAGUUUAUAUAUAAGGCAGACAUGGGUAGUCGUUAGUAUUAAAGAACACAAUACCUUUGAUCUCUUGUAUUGAGAAAAGAGAUGGGAAGAAUUGGAGCUGACCAUAUCUCAAUAAGAAACAAUAUUUACCUUCUUAGCAUAAUCACACUCAACAAUAUUGAUUUCCUUAAAAAGGAAAAUACAUACAACUAACAAGCUAUAAAAAGAUUUUCCCUAAAAUGGAAGCUUAGAGUUUACUAAAAUCUAUAAAUAAUUCAAACAUGGGUAGUGAUCAAGUAAAGAAAAAAAAUUUAUUAGAAAAGAGAUGGCAAGAGUUGGAGCUAUGGUUCUCUUUCUAUUGGUUUUGAUAGUCUGCAAAGAUAUGGAACAUGAAGCAGCGUGCACCUACAAAAAUAUGAGAGAAGUGAAGUGCUGUGCGACUCUUAAAUUUGACAAAUGCGAUCACAAAAACAGUACUCAGAAUGCCUGUUGCGACAGAAUUUGCAGUAACAAAUGUGCCAAGGGUGGCGUAUGCAAGCCCCGGGAGAAGAAUGGGAUUUGUCAUUGUUACUGUUAAUGAAUGAUAUAUGGACAAAGUUUUCUUUCACCGCUCUCCAUAUAUCUCAUUCUUUAUUGUACGUUGUUGAUGGUCACGGUGAACUGAUGUCGAUCACUGUGGCCUCAAGAAAACUUGGUCCAUAAAUAUAUUAAAUAAAUAAAUAAAUAAAAAUUAACUAGUACAUGUUUAUAUAUA